rnacentral:rRNA from 1 species
GACGAACCGUGCGAACGUUAUUCGGAAUCACUGGGCUUAAAGGGCGCGUAGGCGGGUCGGUAAGUCAGGGGUGAAAUCCCACGGCUCAACCUCGGAACUGCCUUCGAUACUGCGGGUCUCGAGUCCGGGAGAGGUGAGUGGAAUUCCUAGUGUAGAGGUGAAAUUCGUAGAUAUUAGGAAGAACACCAGUGGCGAAGGCGGCUCACUGGCCCGGUACUGACGCUGAGGCGCGCAAGCGUGGGGAGCAAACAGG